rnacentral:piRNA from 1 species
UAUUGAUUGCACAUAGUCUGAAGGA